rnacentral:lncRNA from 1 species
CGCCACGGAGAGGCUCCUGAAGCUGCAAACUCCGCUCAAGCCCUCCGUGUGCUACCAGCCGAAGGACGCGGGACCGUGCUUCGGCCACUUCCCCCGCUACUACUACAACGCGACGACCAACACCUGCGAGCAGUUCAUUUUCGGAGGCUGCAAGGGCAACGCCAACCACUUCCUCACGCUCGAGCGAUGCGAGAGCAAGUGCGGAAACGUUUCGCUUACCGAUCAACUCAUCAGGU